UUUAUUUUGACGUUCGGCGGCGCAUUUUUUUUACAUCGAGGAAGAGAGAAUAUUGGUUGUUUGCGAGAUACAGAAGAAUAAGAACAUACAGAAGAAGAGAUAAUAUUUCUACAGCUCCACGAGCUCUUUUCGCGGUUGGCAAAAGCAUGAUAUUUCAAGAUCCAGAGAAGAAGGUCCUGUACAGCUGUGUUUGAAAAGAUUUCCCAGAACUCAGCGUUGGUACUAGGAACAGGCCUUUCAACAGCUCCUGGUAUAAGGACAAUUCAUGGCUUGAAUAUUCUGUAAAUCAAGAUUUGACUUAUUGUUUCUCCUGUAGACAUUUUUCUCUUCUCAAUACACCUGAAUCUGCCUUCACAUCACAGUCAGGUUUUUGUAACUGGAAAAAAAGGGUCUGUUUAAAGAUUCUGGAUUUAAGCUCCAUUCGAAGGCAGAGCAUCAUAUCAAUGCUAUGUAUGCUUGGAAUCAGCAUAACAGGGCUAUUGACAGCAACUCAUCAAUGUUAGAUGUCAUAAAUGAGGACC